rnacentral:rRNA from 1 species
GACGAACGCUGGCGGCGUGCUUAACACAUGCAAGUCGAACGGAAAGGCCCUGCUUUUGUGGGGUGCUCGAGUGGCGAACGGGUGAGUAACACGAGAGUAACCUGCCCUUGACUUUGGGAUAACUUCAGGAAACUGGGGCUAAUACAGGAUAGGAGCUCCUGCUGCAUGGUGGGGGUUGGAAAGUUUCGGCGGUUGGGGAUGGACUCGCGGCUUAUCAGCUUGUUGGUGGGGGAGGGGCUUACCAAGGCUUUGACGGGUAGCCGGCCUGUGAGGGUGACCGGCCACAUUGGGACUGAGAUACGGCCCAGACUCCUACGGGAGGCAGCAGUGGGGAAUAUUGCACAAUGGGCGGAAGCCUGAUGCAGCAACGCCGCGUGCGGGAUGACGGCCUUCGGGGUGUAAACCGCUUUCGCCUGUGACGAAGCGGGAGUGACGGUAAUGGGUAAAGAAGCACCGGCUAACUACGUG